rnacentral:rRNA from 1 species
CCCUUCGGGGGUUAGUAGAGCGGCGCACGGGUGAGUAACACGUGGCUAACCUACCCUUCAGUCUGGGAUAACCCGGGGAAACUCGAGCUAAUACCGGAUACGUUCCACGGAGGAAAGCGGGGGCUCUCUUCGGAGACCUCGUGCUGAAGGAUGGGGCCGCGGUCCAUCAGGUAGAUGGUGGGGUAAUGGCCUACCAUGCCAAAGACGGAUAGCUGGUCUGAGAGGAUGAUCAGCCACACUGGAACUGAGACACGGUCCAGACUCCUACGGGAGGCAGCAGUGGGGAAUCUUGCGCAAUGGGCGAAAGCCUGACGCAGCAACGCCGUGUGUGCGAUGAAGGCCCUCGGGUCGUAAAGCACUGUCAGUAGGGAAGAUGGGUUCUUUUCCUAAUAGGGAGAGGACUUGACGGUACCUACGGAGGAAGCACCGGCUAACUCUGUGCCAGCAGCCGCGGUAAUACAGAGGGUGCAAGCGUUGUUCGGAAUUAUUGGGCGUAAAGCGCGCGUAGGCGGCCAUUUAAGUCGGAUGUGAAAGCCCGGGGCUCAACCUCGGAAGUGCAUCCGAAACUGAAUGGCUUGAAUCCUGGAGGGGGCAGUGGAAUUCCCGGUGUAGAGGUGAAAUUCGUAGAUAUCGGGAGGAACACCAGUGGCGAAGGCGACUGCCUGGACAGUGAUUGACGCUGAGGUGCGAAAGCGUGGGUAGCAAACAGGA